GCCCCUAUAGUGUAGUUGGUCAAUCACGUCGCCCUCUCGCGGCGGAGACCCGGGUCCGAAUCCCGGUAGGGGCA
rnacentral:tRNA from 1 species